UCUAUAGAAGGUUUUUUUUCCAGCUGAACUAGACCUCGCCAUUAAAAAUGCUAAAAAUGUAGCCCCUGGUCAGGAUGGUGUUCAAUAUGUGAUGUUGAAGGAACUUCCUCAGAUAGCCAAAACAUAUUCUCCUCCAUAUAUUUAAUUCUGCUUGGAUAAAUGACGUCUAUGUUCCUGAAUGGUCCACUCAAAUUAUCAGACCCAUCCUAAAACCAGCAUGGAGAAUGUAGACAUGCAUGAACUUGCUUGUUUACCACGUUUAUUUUCAUCAUAUUGCUAUGAUGGACUUUAACCUCGAUCAAUCCAACAAGAGUAUUUGUAAAGAAAUCACACACACAACAUGGAUUAGACAUGCAGGAACAUGCUAGUCUACGUUUGAUAAUAUAAUGCGCAUUCGAUCAAACCAAGUUCAUUUCGUCGUAGGCGUUCGCUGAAGGAGGUCGUCCAAAUAACACAAGAUGGACUCUAUGAAACUCGUACGUGCUCUCAACCAAAUCACUGCUCCAAAAAGAAUUUGAAAAAUUUCCGAUUUAAAUGUAGCAUUCGCUUGCGAAGUGAAGGGUUUGGUCAAAAUCCCAACGAAAUACGACGAUGCCAUUGUCGCCGACCUUAAAUACUUCGGACCUACGUACAUCGGAGACUCUUCUUCAACGAGAGUAUUCCUCCCGAAACGUUUCAAUGAGAUAAUCACCGCUUACGUGUUAACUUAACGACGAAACACAACGAAAAAUGUCACUAGUAUACAAAGGCGACCACGAAAUUGAAUUGAUUUAAUUGUAACACUUUAUAAAUAAUAUAUAUAUUCUUCCAA